ensembl:antisense Gm11655 predicted gene 11655
GCACUGAGAACAUUCAGGACAAACUUCUGUUGCUGUGAAGCUGGCACAGAAGAUAAUCCACCCACUGAAGAGCAGAAUUAGCACCGGGGCUUUGGUGUUGGGUUUGUUUCCCUGAAAUAACUUCUUUCUCAGGCUUCCCAUGGCAUCACGGUGAAUCUCUGAAACGUGAAAUUUUAGGCAACAUCAGCGGUCUUUUUUUUUUUUUUUCUUUUCUUACAAUGGUUUCUAAGACAUAGGGCUGAACUCAUGGUCACAGUAAGGCAAUGACAACUCGGACUCCUACCCACGGCCAGCGGCUAGCUGCUGUAGGGUUCUGCUUCUGCUCGGCUAUCAUUUGCACCCUGGCUUCCAUGGCUGCUUCCCAGUGUUGACAGGGAUAGAGAGGAGAGUAAAGAGACAAGGGAGGACCGAACAGGAAGAAGAUGGGAGUCUGAGCAUGGAAGGGAAGGGACUGAAACGUGCUGCUCUGAGAGGACUUCAAAACAUGGACAACAGGAUGUCAGCUUUUUAGGAAAGUUGAGAGGAUCUCACAACCUCCCGCCUUUGUAUUAGUCGCUGAAGGAGAUGAGGAGGAGGAGGAGGAGUCACUUCAGCCAGUGACAGAAGACCGAAGGUUUGCCGAAAUCCCCAGAGAAUUCACAGACUGAGCCAAGUGCUAAGGAUCCUUAGAGAGUCAGGAGUGGCUGGGAAGAAAUUCGGAAUCUUUUCCUGUCCCUUGGAAGCCAUCAAAAGAGCUCGAAUAAAGAGGAAUGUGUAUGAAAGU